AGCCUGGGAGAGGAGGCCCCCACCCAGUAACUGGAAACCCAAGGGGCUACUGGUGACCCACCUCCAGGAACACAGGGCGACAGUCAACAGCAGGAUUCAAGUUUCUCAAGACCAUGCAUUCUUUGCCCCGUGGCCUCCAAUGAUGGUACAGUCAAAUUAUGGGAGUCUGAAAAACUGGAGGGAAACAGUGUUGCUAACUGCUCUAAACAGACCCUCAAGAAUACUUCUGUACCUGGAGAGAAAGUGAAAGGUUUAGUUUUCUGUGAAGCUCCUGGCUCUGCUCUCUCCUGGCCACAUUCACUGACAUGGGGGCCAUCAACAUUUACAAGAUAGAGGCAGGAAAGACCACUUGAAACAAAGCUAUUAAUGUGGACAAGUCAGACUAUGGAAACAUAGUAGAUCUCCCAUACUUUGAUACAGGUGCCCAGUCUGUUUUAUCGUAUGCUGCAGUCAAUGGGGUCUUAGUGGGACAUGAUCUUUACUCUAAUAAGGAAGUCUGGAAGCUCAGAAAUGAUCCCAAAUCAGG